AUUGAACGCUGGCGGCAUGCUUUACACAUGCUAGUCGAACGGUAACAGGCCUUCGGGUGCUGACGAGUGGCGAACGGGCGAGUAAUGCAUCGGAACGUGCCCAGAUGUGGGGGAUAAAGCAGCGAAAGCUGUGCUAAUACCGCAUGUGAUCUGUGGAUGAAAGCGGGGGACUAAGCAGCAAUGUUUGCCCUCGCGCCUUUGUAGCGGCUGAUCUCAGAUUAGUUAGUUGGUGGGGUAAAGGCCUACUAAUCCGUCGAUCUGUAGCUGGUCUUAGAGGACCACUAGUCAGACUUGGACUGUGGUACAAUCCAGACUCCUACGGUGAGCAGGAGUGGGGAUUUGUCGAAAAAGGGCGCAAGCCUGCUGCAGCAAGGCCGCGUGGGUGAAUAAGAUCUUCGGGUUGUAGACCGCUUUAGUAUGGAACGAAAGGGCUCUGACUAACACCUUUGGCUGAUGACGGUACCGUAAGGAUAAGCAGCGGCUAACUACCUA
rnacentral:rRNA from 1 species